rnacentral:rRNA from 1 species
UGUGGUUAGGUGUUGCAUGGCUGUCGUCAGCUCGUGUCGUGAGAUGUUGGGUUAAGUCCCGCAACGAGCGCAACCCUUGUCGUUAGUUGCCAGCAUUGAGUUGGGAACUCUAACGAGACUGCCGACUUUCAAGUCGGAGGAAGGUGGGGAUGACGUCAAGUCCUCAUGGCCCCUAUGUCCAGGGCUACACACGUGCUACAAUGGUCGGUACAAAGGGCUGCGAAACCGCGAGGUGGAGCCAAUCCCAAAAAACCGACCUCAGUACGGAUUGGAGUCUGCAACUCGACUCCAUGAAGUCGGAAUCGCUAGUAAUCCCUGAUCAGCAUGGCAGGGGUGAAUACGUUCCCGGGUCUUGUACACACCACCU